CGGACGGGUGAGUAAUGCUUGGGAAUAUGCCUUUAGGUGGGGGACAACAGUUGGAAACGACUGCUAAUACCGCAUAAUGUCUACGGACCAAAGUGGGGGACCUUCGGGCCUCAUGCCUAUAGAUUAGCCCAAGUGAGAUUAGCUAGUUGGUAAGGUAAUGGCUUACCAAGGCGACGAUCUCUAGCUGGUUUGAGAGGAUGAUCAGCCACACUGGGACUGAGACACGGCCCAG
rnacentral:rRNA from 1 species